GACGAACGCUGGUGGCGUGCCUAAUACAUGCAAGUCGAGCGGACCAAUAGAAGCUUGCUUCUGUUGGUUAGCGGCGGACGGGUGAGUAACACGUGGGCAACCUGCCUGUAAGACUGGGAUAACUUCGGGAAACCGGAGCUAAUACGGGAGAAUUCAUCCCCUCGCAUGAGGGGAUGCUGAAAGUCGGUUUACGCUGACACUUACAGAUGGGCCCGCGGCGCAUUAGCUAGUUGGUGAGGUAAUGGCUCACCAAGGCGACGAUGCGUAGCCGACCUGAGAGGGAGAUCGGCCACACUGGGACUGAGACACGGCCCAGACUCCUACGGGAGGCAGCAGUAGGGAAUCUUCCACAAUGGACGAAAGUCUGAUGGAGCAACGCCGCGUGAGCGAUGAAGGCCUUCGGGUCGUAAAGCUCUGUUGUUAGGGAAGAACAAGUAUCGGAGUAACUGCCGGUACCUUGACGGUACCUAACCAGAAAGCCACGGCUAACUACGUGCCAGCCGCCGCCGUAA
rnacentral:rRNA from 1 species